UGUAUCCAUCAACAUUUGCUCCAUAUUUGUCAACGAAUUGGUAAACACCCUUUCCCUGAACAUAACCAACAUGUUUGCUUAUAUAUUACAAGUGUCUCACCACAAAAUUAAUUUGACAAAUUAUUGGGUCUAUUAAUUUCGUUUAUGUAGCCUGUGAUAUGGAGUACUAAUCUUCAUGAUCAGAGUACAAUAAUCAAUGCAUUCAACUAAAUUUCAUGAUAAAAUUUUACUUACGUAGGGAGUAUUUUGUUUUAUCUUAAAAAAUAUUUGAAAAUAUCAUAACAAAGAACAGAAAUUUUUUGCCCUCAUAACUAACAAUAUAAUACUUGAAAACAAAAUUGUAGAAACAAACCUUUUGCUUCCUGCCUGAGGCAUCAACGCCGUCUCUCAAGCUCAUGCUUCCAUUAAUUCCUAAUGACAAAACCAAAUGGUAGCACUUUAUAAUCAACAGAUAGAAGAAACAACAUAUGGGAGAAUAUAUACAACCCAAAACACGAUAUAGAAGGUAAAAAUGAAAUCAGUCAAAACUGGGGUUCAUUAAAGAGCUGACUGAAAAGGAUUAAAAACACCCCUACUCUAUGCAAAAUAUCUUAAUUUUAUCUUCCGUUAUACUUUGUAUAUAUUCAUACCUUCGUCGUUAGGUAAUCAUCUCAUAUUAACCUAUGACCCUAAUGGAGUCCCCCCAACCUAAAGUAUACAGGAGGACAGGGGUGUUCAAAUCGAAUCGGAAAAUCACACCAAACCGAGAAGUCAAAUCAAACCGGUUAAAAAAACUGAUUAAGUUUGGUUUGAUUUGGUCUGGUAUUAAGUAAAAAAAUUCGAACCAACCCGACAUAUAAAUAUAUUUUUAUAUAUACUUUUAAGAUUUUGUAUAGAAUUUUUAAAUAAAAAUAUCUACAAAUAUGUAGGAACCUCUCAUGAAAUAUAAUAGUAUUUAAUAGAAGUAUGAAGUGCAUCCAUUUUUAUUUAGUUUAAAUAAUAGUGUAUCAUCAUUUUCUUAUCAAGUGUUAUUGAAAUGCGUAAAUAUCUUUGUUUUUCCAUAAUCAUAUGUCAAGAUCUGUUAAAUUCUUAUAUCUUUUUCGAAUUUCAAAUGGCAUUUUGAUCAUUUUAAAAUGAAAUAGAACUUAUCAUCAUAGGUUUCAUAUUGAUUUUUAUGUUUAGUUAUUAAAUUCGGUUAACCUUAAAAGUGUACAUCAAUGGAAAAUUAUUGUUAAACGACUAAGAAAAUAAAAUCCAUAUGUCACUAAAAAAUUCUCCCAUAACAAUAUUUUAAUGAUUCAUAUCUUUGUCAGUUAUUUCAACUAAUACUAAACAUAUAUUUAUUUAUCAAAACUUUAUUUAUAACUUUAACAAAAUAAGAUUGAAAUAAUAUUUAUGUAACAAAAAAAUCCGAAAAACCGACAAAACUGAACCAACCCAAAUCGAUAUAGUUGGUUUGAUUUGGUUUUGAUAAAAACCGAACUGACCCGGUCCAUGUACAUCCCUACCGGAGAAUAAUUUUAAACCAUAAUUAAAUCCGCUGGUUAAAUUUGGAGCUUUUACAAAAAUAUUUUAACAUGCGGAAUUAUCCCUGUUAACACUAACAAUACGAAAUAAUUUACUAACGGUAAGGAUAUGAAUAGCUCCAAGUACAAUAAAUAAUAAUAUUAAGAUACUUUGUAUAGUACUAGGGUCGAUUUGGACCUUUUCCCAAGAGAUUGACGAAUUUUCAUGUUUACUUACGGAUUCACAAAAAAUUCAUAAUCUACAACUAUUAAAAUAAUUAUAUAUUCUACAACAUAAAAAUGAUCUAUAAAAAUGUACCCUAAUAUAAGGAUGAGUACCUGUAAAAAGGCGUCUGAUCGUGAAAAGUAUCCAUAAUUAGUCUCUUAAAAUUCUCAAUUUUAUUAAUUAUAAAUUAUUACUAUAAAUGCUUUAGUUUAUCAUGAUAACACUAUCUCAUAACCACAAUGGAUCCCCAAAAAAAUACAUUGUAUCCUUCAUUAAAAUAGGUUCUCCAUCUUGGGAUUCUUUGGUUCUUUCAAUUUCAUUGUCCACCUUGGUAAACUUAUAGUAGGAAUAUUUUUCUACAGUCAAUUCAUCUUCGCAGCAUCAUUUUAAUUAGAGAAAAUCAAUCUUCAAGAAAUAUGAUGAGUUAUUAUGUUUAACAAUUAUAUAUUAUAUAACAUAUAAUACACAAUAUGUAAAACAUAUAUAUCAUAUAUUAUAUGUAAUUAUACAAUAUACAAACGUUAAUUAACACUUUAAAAUCCAAUAUAGAACAAUUUUAUUACAGUUUACCUUUAAUUUAUUAUAAUGUAUACACAUAUAUAAGUAUAUAAUAUCCUAUAUAUAAUAUAUAAUAUAUUACUAUAUAUUGUUACUGUAUUUAAUUAUAGUAAUUGUAGGGAGAAGUCAAAUUGGGUGAUUAAGAAAUAUACUGUAAAGGAGUAUGAAGAAAGGUAUCAGCAUUUUGUAGGGGGUGGAGGGAGGACGGGGGUGACAUUAUUUUCUACACAUUCGGGGACGACUUAUAUCUAUGUAAAAGGGAGGAAAGCGGCUAGGGACAUGGGGAUAUACUCGAAUUUUUUAAUGGAGAAAUUGGUGGGAAGUUAAUACGGAUAGAUACAUUUUAGGUGAGACAGAAUCUCAGAUACAUUUUAGGUGAGAGAAUCUCAAGGGAGAUAUUAGGGAUAUAAGUUAUAGAUUUUAAAAUAAAUUGUAUUUAAUGUAAUUUUUUAAAAGUAAUUAUAACUUGUGUAAAUAAGUUAUAUUAUAUGUAAAUUAUAACACAUAAUUUUUUUUUAUUAUUAUUAUUUUUUUAUUUUAUUUUUUUUUACAAUUAGGUCACCUAAGAAUCUAGAAGAAUUAACCUAAAUAGCCGUCAACCAAACCGCUCAAGUGUUUAAUUUAUGUAUACCGUCUAGAAAAAGUAGACUAUGAAUCUGGCGGACUAUUUGCGUAAAAAUCCAUAAAAUCUAAGUAAAGUAAUUAACUUUAAUAACAAACAUGGAUUAGUAAGAUGUAAAACAUGAUAAGAACCUCUUACAAUAGAUAAAAUUGAACCAAUAAUGUAAAAGUUGCAAUAGUAUUGGUGUAUAUAAUUAAGUUAAAGUCGGAGUUAAAGAAUCGAAGGAAGAAAUAUAUAUAUAUAUACCGUAAGGCUUGUCAGUCUUAAGCUUCUUGACACCACUGGCUUGAACUCUGAAGGAAGAAGAAGACCUAGCAAGUGAUGGCAGUCCUUUCACUGCUGUCUUCUCCACACUGAAAGGUGCAGGUUUGAGGCUCAUUACUGUGCUUGCCAUUUCCUAUGCUCUCUUUUCUUCUGACUCUAUACUUGUAAAUGUGCUUCUUUAGGCUGGCAUGGUCCCUUCAUAAUAAUAUUAGUCAAGACUUACAAUUUGUGAUUUACAAUCUUACACGUGGCACCUCUUUUGUGGAUUGCUUCUAGAUAUCUGCUUGUUUAAACCUCCUCUACAAAUUACUAUUCUCCUUAUCCUAAUAUUCUACACUUGGACUUCAUUUAUUGGUUUCUUUCGAUGCCCAAAGGGGCCCAAAAGAUUGACUUGCUUCUCUACAUUUUCUUUCCCUCUUUUUUUCUGUGAACGGACUACGGAGGGAGAAAUAACUCUGUGAGAUUACGAUUUUAAACUUUUUUUUCUCAAAUGAUGCUGUUAGUAAUUUGUGAGAAUAAUCUUGAACUAAAUAAUGAAUUAAUUGUUCACCGUGUAUAGCAUCUUAACCGGCUAGUUAUUGAUUUCACUCUCACGACAAAGACAAAUCAAAUGCAAAGACUAAAUUCCUCCUUUUUUCUAUUUACUUUUGUUGUUCUACUGUUUUAGGGCGAUGGCAGCAUAUAGUUCUAAACUUCUAAUCAAAAUGCAAACUCCAUGUUAACGAUAACAAGAAUGCUAAGUUAAGUUGAGCCACUGAUUCUCUUUUGCCAAAAUAUAAAUGAAAAAAAGAGGCAGAGAUAUGGGACACAAUUUGUUACCUUAAUUAUGACACAUACUAAUAGGAUCUGCUUACGAAGAAUAUGUGAGGUUGAGCUAAAUUUGUGCGGGUCAAAAUGAUUUGAAUCAUUAGAUGGCCAUGACCCGCUCUGUUCUAAAGUUUAGCUGAGUUAAGAUGAGCCGAGUCAAAUUAGACUAAACAAUGGGUUAUACCCCACAAAGGAUUAACAGUUUUACUAUCCUGGAAACUAGAGAACUAAGCUGCCUACAAGAUAGCCGAAUUUAGUAGUUGAAUUGCCAUCCUCUGAACUCAAAUACAGACAAAAACCACCGAAUGCAGCAAAUUGGAUAGAGUUCCUUCAGUAUCUAACUGAAGCAUUAGAAAUAGGAUUUGAAAAUGUUGGUGUUGAUGUUCUUUGCUAUCAUGCAAUCUAAUGCAUGUGAUCUGCCAUAGUCUGUAAUUUGGUAAUCAUCUGAAAUGCAGCUGACUCCAGUGCUUCAGAGGGGCUGGAAUGCAGAUCACUCUCACAAGAAUAUAGAAAGUCAACCCCCUGUAAACUAACUCUAGCAUGAAAUCCACCUAUAAGAAAAUGAACUGAAAAGAUUAGUUGAAUCUGGAAAUUUAAACGGAAUGAGUACCCAUUAAAUGUCAUAAAAUUAGAUUCUAUGAGCAGCCAAUAUUGGGAAUUUCUGUUUUCCUUUUUAUCAGAGGGAAACUGUGUUUCAGACAAUAAAUAGGUGUUACUAGCUUGCCCGACAGAUGAACCCCCCCUCAAUGCAGUACGUUCAGCAGUGCAGCAUUAAUGGAAAGAUAGAACAAAAAUCUUGGAGAGUUGCACAAUCUUGGGAAUUUCACCACAGAAACAAAUGAAAAUUAUAACGGGGAAGGAAAUGUCAAAAGUGGGUUUCAUGUUAAAAGAUGAAGUUCUUUCACGGGAAAUAAACAAUAAAAAGUCUAAGCACAUUGUACUAAAAUGCCUAAAAGGAAUCGCAUCUUAUUUCAAAAUCACUACGUAUUGUGAAGCAAGGUCUGGGUAGGUAAGGGCAGUAGAUGAAAGAAUCGUCACAUGAUAUGGUUGAAGAUGAGGUUAAUGUUGUCAAAACCCUCAUUAGGUACGGUGGAAUAUUAGAAAACCCAAGACAAGGCCAGUGGAGUAGAAGAGUAUGUUCGAGUGAUGCGCCAGAAGUUGCACAGGGGAAGUGCCAGUGAGAAAGUUUGAGAGCAAGUACACAUAGACAUUCACCAGUACAAGCACAUGUAUGCCUGGGAGACGAAUAAAGUGAGAGAAGCAUACACUGAUUUACUCCAAGUUCAUUGAACAGAAUAAACUCAUUUGCAACUGCUCGUGCAAAUAGAAAUGAUGUGAUCUUGUCGUUUUAGGGGUGAUAAGACAAGACAGCAUCAGGGUUCCAACAGGCCAAAAGGAAAAUUAAGUUCACAUCUUUUUUGUUGUCUUAAAGGAAGAUCUACUUCCAUCUCUUUGUUUCAAGAAACAUUUGAUCGUUAUAAUCAGCAACCAGAUGUUCUCAACUAUCAAUCACGGCCCAGGCCCAACUGCCAAGGUAUAAUCCGCUUUGGCCCGGUAGCUCUGGGCCACCUCAAGGUUUUUGUGCCUCACGAUUUUUUUUUUUCCUCCUAGGCUUUAACCCAAAAGGUGCCUCAACAGUUAAAUCCUGAACUCACCCUUAUAUGGCCCCUAAAUUUACCCUCCCAUUCCGUUGUGGAAUUUCCCUAAAGCAAGUUUUCCAGCUAACCCCCUUUCGAGUAGCUGUUACACCAUCUUUAUUAGAAAUUUAAAAAAAAAUGCAUAAGCACACUGUAGUAGCAGUAAUACAUGAGAAGCCAUCUAAUAUUCACAUCAAUGUAAUCUAUCUGUUUAAAAAAAAACAUUCGCAUAUAUGAAAAAUGAUAUACCGUCUAUUGCUGACACACUAUAUGAUGGAAACAUCCAGUUAUUCACACAACAUAUUUGAUACAAGUCCUGCCAAAAGAAAAAUUGUUACAUUUAAUUGGGGAAAAUGACAACAGAGUAAAUGCUUCAUAAGAUGCUAUUCAGAAAAUGGAAAAAAUGUGAGCAAUCAUAAAAGAGAUGACAUAUAGUCCCGUGCAGGCAAGGCUGAUAGUAUUGUAUGGUCAACACAAGCAUUUCUUAAGGAUCAUCCAACACACUAAGGGGCACAAGAACAAAUUAUCAGACAUGAUGCUUGAGCAUACCAAGAGCACAAGACAUCAUUAAUCUACAUGGAAAUGAUCAAGUUAUAAAGCAUGGAACAAACACUGAGAAAAGAGGAGAGAUAAAAUUCAAGCAAGUUCGGAUGCCAAAACAUGCCUGAGAUGCACGUAGUGAAGUGCGUACAGCUUUGGGCAAUUUCCUUCCACUCAUAGGUUGAACCAAGCCAAGCUCUUCGUCAGGUUGAUGGCCUUCUUCUUGGAUAGCAGCUCUAUCCUUCAAGCACAUUUCAUCACAGAAGCCCAGCAGCGUUUCUAGUUUUAAAGCCAAAUUAUCUUUGCCACCUACAAGGCUUUAAAAUAACAUGAGCACAUUGACCUUCAGUAAUUUAGAUCAAGUUCAUGACACAGCAGUUCUGAGUAGUUCACAACUCCAAGAAACUACGAAAUCAUGACGAGGAAUCAAAACCUCCACAAGGAAACUUGGCCACCAAAGCCUCAUUUAAUCACAGUUCUCAACCACACUCUGUACCCCUUCACCACCCACCCACCCACCCUCCAGCACAGAGAGAACAAAAAAGAAAGCAAGAGAAAGGAAACCAUUUUAGUCCCCUCUUAACUUAGGACAAAGCACCCUAGGGUCUUUGUUGUACUCCAUGCAUAACAGUUACGUUAUCAACUUCAACAUCUGUCCAUACAUGAUAAAACUGGUAAUACACUUACGAUGUGAGAUAUAGUAUUGAUAGCUUUUGUAGUUGUUUUGAGUGCAGCUUUUAUGCACAAGUAACUGUAUCUAAUUGCUUAACAAAGAGAGAAGAAAUACAAUGCUAUGAGUCUUCCAUGUUCAGUACUUCAGUUAUCCAACUCCGCAAUACUGAUUUUUUGCAUUUGAUAAUUUCUAACAUGAUAAUGCGUCAAGGUUUUAUAUUCAUACAUCAGUUGAGGUCAAAAAAUGGAGUAAUUACUUUAGUUUUGACUUCCUUCAGUCCCAAGCAUAUGUAUAAAGGAGGGCUGCGGGUAGGUUUGACAACCAGCAUGAGAAUAGUCUAACUAUGAUGAAUCUCCUAAAGGUUGAAUUGAUUACGACAUGCCCACUACACACUCACCAUGUCAGCUUGGAAUAAAAUGGGUCUAAAAGGAGAUACAGAGGCAACUAGUAAGUUCAUUUGACAUUCAUUUCUUAAAAAAGAUCAAACAAGUGAGGAGGAAAAACAAACAACAAGCAGAAGAAAAUAAUUUUGAUCCAUACAGUACCAAGUCAUGUAAAAAGAGUAAUACUAGCACAAAGAAACUGAAACAAAAAAAGCUACUAAAGCCUGAGAUAGAAAUCAUACCAUCUAAGAUUCUUUGAAUACUUUUAUCACAUAAUGCUAUUUCAUCUUCUAUUUUAUGUUGUUGAUGACACUGCCAAGAAAUGAAUGCAACUUGAUAUUACUGAGAACCAAAUAAAGUGUAAGCUCCACUAAUCAGAUUUAAAAAGCUACUCCACAAAAUUUUUAAAAUGGAAAUAAGAAAAAUAAUAGUAAAAUAAUUCAGAAGGCAUAAGAGACAGAAAAAGGAAAACUCCACAAGACUUUUGGCCCAUUAAAAGUACAUAGCUAAGGACCAUAAUAUAUUACCGGACUAUAUUUUGAAGGAUGAACAUUUCAUUGACAUUUUAAGUGGUCAGUUCAGAAAAUAUACAUCAUAGUCUUCGUCUUACAAAAAAGUCCAACUGACGAAUUAAUAGGUGAACCUAGUGUCUCAUUUUGGAUUAAGCAGAAGUCAGAUGAAAAAACAAUGAAUUAAGAUUGAUUAAAAUAUACUUAGGAAGAUCCAAGGGAAAAGGAAAAAAUAAAUGUGGUCCUAUCAGUAAUAUUAAUUGAAUUAUCAGCUCACCAGCAUAGAUCAGAAAAAAGCCGUAAGUAUAUUGCUAAUCAUUUAGAGCAUUGGAGCUGGAAACAAUAGCAAUUGGAUUUUAGUUUGGAACCCAUUGCUCUGUUGUCUAUAAGACCUGACACAACAAAAGGGACAUCUCCAAACUUUCCAAACACUGAUUUUCAAAUUUAAAUUGAUCAAGGAAUAACAGCAGUAUUAAUAGCAAAUAAACAAAUGAGAAGGCUCUUGACACAUAUUCUACGUCAUACCAAACAUAAAAUUACCAGUUUCUCUCGUUUAUCAAGAAGAACUCUAAGGGCACUUUGAGUUAAAGCCUUCUCUUUUGAAGCCAAAACAGUUUGUAAAUCGCCUAUAUCCAUAGUAUCAUGCUGAUAAGGAACAAAUGCAGUAUGUGCCACUGAAAUCCCAUUUCGAUUAGGUGAGAUAGUGGAAAGGCCACACUCUUUACCAGCCUUCCCUUCAUCAGUUCUUUCUGCCUGCAAAUAAUGCUUGGUAUCAAAUAUGACAAUGAAAUGAAGAAUGAAGGGGAUUCUCUCAUCUCCAGGAAAAAAAAUGAAAAAGCAAAGGACUUCCAUCAACUUGAUUUGAUGCCUAAGGAGUUACAAUAAUGCCUAAUAAAAGGCAGCAGCAGCUGUAUGUCCUUCCCGAAGAAUAAAACUAUAUCCUCCAUCACACAUUGCCUCAGUCUAGAUCUCCAAUAUAGUCCAUCCAAUUCUUUUGAUUUAUUUUUUACUAAAAGGAAAAGUUCGCUAUUUCCAGGUACUCACAUUAGGAUAAGGGCAUAAAUCCACAUUAUUUUUCCCUUGUCAACUUCUUGUAGUAUCUCUUUUACAAACUACCAUUUCAACCACUAUCUCAAGCAUCAUUCAACAAAGUUCAAUAUAGUAACAUGAGGAAACUCUUUAACACAAAGUGCCCUUAGAGUUUUCCCUCAUGUUACUAUAUUGGGUUUCCUCAUGUUACUAGUGGAUGCCUCCCCUGUACAAGGCUUGAGGAAGAUACAUAUUAAAAUAAAGAAUGUAUAUCAUCCAAAACUGCAAUUGAAUGUAUCACAGAUUUAUCAGGGAAAGGAAUUAAUGUCUGCUUUGGAACCAGCACAGAAUGCACAACCGUAAAAACUUAAGGAAAAGAAGAAAAGAGUUCUAUUUAAAAAUUGUGCUAUUUCUUGAUGAAAUUCCCUUCAUUUAAAAUAUUGAUCGCUAGUUCAUCCCAAGUGGGUAAUUUCACGAAUGCUCUUGAAAAGAGAAAGGGAGGAUUAGUAAGAACAAAUAAGACCAAUGCAUCGUAAAUUCAAAACUUUUACUACAUUAACUGAAAAUGUCUUACCUUGCAAAUUACACCACCUCCAAUGAUUUCUCCACCACUCACCCUCGUCCUCUUUUUCUCGUGAUGGUAAACCUUUGUAAUAAGCUUACGAUCCUUACUGUUUCCAUUUUUGGAGCAGGGAAUACAAGCAUCCAUGUCCAUCCUCUGAGGCCUAGUAGGAGACCUAGAAAAGUGAUAAUCAUCAUUCACUUGCACCUCCAAAGGUUCAGGAUGAGCACCAGCUAACUCCAUUCCAUUAAAAUCAUUGAUUUCACAGCUUUUAGUGGACUUCACCAGCUCCUCGGCUUUAUCUUCUUGUGUCCUUGGACGGUUGAUGGUAUCAUACAAUUCUUUUGCAGUUGAAUCUUUAUAGUCUCUGCUAUUUUCGUGGUGUACCUUUUUACUUGUAUCAUUUAGACAUUCCAAGUUGACAUCAGAUAGCUUAUCAUCACUGAAAUCUACAAUUUCUGUAUUUUUAAUUGAACUAUCUCUCCCAGCUUCUUCACUUUUCCUUAUCCUCUGGUGGCCAUCUACAACAGUUGCUUCUUGACCAACUGCAGAACGACUAACUUUUUCGCGACCAUCACCAUGUUUUGCCUCUGAAAUUUCUAGGUUUAUACGAUCUGACUUUGUUCCAAUUAAAGCUUCAUAACUUUCAUCAGGCGUCUUUGCUUCUAUCUUUUCUACAGGUUCCUCUACACUCUGGCUAUCAAAGUAGAACGAAAACCCAAUUAAGCCAGACAAUGAAUGACUAUCAAAGCAAGAUCUAUUGACAACUCACCACAAACAAAGCCCAACUGAAAUUGAAGGUACCUCAAAAGAAAGGCUGACAUGAUAUUGGCAUAGGGAAGCAGAUGAAAGUACUCAACUACUUCUGUAGUGGACCAACUACCAGAACUCUUUUUCACCAAUGGACCCUGUAAACUACAGAGAUAAACAGUUAUCACUUUUCUUUUUCUAGCAGUAAAAGGUACCAGAAUAUAUGAAUUAAUGCUACUGACAUAUUUAAGCAAUUAUGCCUUUUGACUUCACCUAGUGGAUGUUUAGGAUUGUUCUCUGACUGUGAGUUUAUCAAUGUUCGACCCAUAACAACACAAGACGAUAUUAUAAUCUUCAAACUCCGCAUAGUUAAUGCCAUUAACCUACUUUAAAUUGCUCUUCAAGGACAAGAGUAUACAAACGAAUCAUUCUACUUAUUCACGUGAUUCUGUCAAAGAAAGUAAAUAUUGAUGAACUUGAGAAACCAUCACAUCAUUUCUUCACAAAAAGUAUCAGUAUCAUCAAACAAAUGAGCUAAUCUAAGACUAGAGAUACAAGAGUUCUUGUAGAAAAAGCCCAUCUCUUAAACUACCCUUGAUAAAAUAAGCCCAAUUAUUCUCUAAGCCAAAGCAGUUAAAAAAACAAGAACUAACCUCUCAAAAAUCUCCUUGACAGGAAUUUGAAUGUCCUGAUUGAUUGAUUUACAUUGCAUGAUGUAAAAGCAAGAUGCUGUCUUUUCUUUAGUUAGUGAAUAUACCACAUGCUUCUCCAAAACCACAAGGUCAGACCGAGAAAUACCUGUCCAUAUCAAGUAAAGUCUCAUCAUGACACAAUGACUCUCUAAAUCAGAACAAACCUGUAACUCAAGAAGUUCAUUUUUAUAAAACAGGAACAGAAAGAUCGCACUGCCUAGGUCAAAGCACUGUCGACCAGUUCUUUCUCUGCCCAGGCAUGAGAAAACACUAUUUAAGACACUUGUUGCUAGCAAAGGCAUUUGUUAAGUAGUUAGUUAUGUAUAGUGUCCCACAUCGGGAAGUAGAUACCUAUUAAUCAUUGUAUAUAAAUAGGGCAUUGUACAACACUUGAAUAAUAUUUUUUCUCUCUUGCUUUCUCACAUGGUAUCAGAGCUAACGUGAGAGAUUCAUCGCUGUGCAAAAAUACAAGCGACUCCGGGAAGGAAAAAAAAACAGUCACUGCGCGAAAUCCGGUGGCUGCCCGGCGUCAGUCCCUUUUUUGUUGGCGUUGUGCGAAAACCAACACCACCAUAAGGUUAAGUAUCAUCCGGCGAGCAAACCCCAGCCAGAAUCUCCGGCAAAGGACGCCUCACGCACUCACACGCGCCGUCAGAAGCGAGAGAUCUGCCGGUGCGUCUAGUUGUUUCCGGCCACUUUCCGGCAAACCUUCUUGAGGACAGUUUGGUCGCGAGGUGUUUCCAAGCCUACCCAUCCAGGUUACACCAAAAUCCGACGACUUUUUAUUGUUCCGGCAGUUAUUUCCAAGUUUCAGCUUGCUUUUGUUUCCAGCUUCAUCUAACUAAGGAAAAAAAGGAGGCUCUAACUUAACUUGUUCUGACUUGGCAUUCCACGAUUAACCAUACAACUUUUGGUCAAGAAUUUGAGAAAUUGGUUGUAGCGAAAUGGGAUCCAAUACUAUGAAUAGUUGGAUGGUCUCUCUACCAUUAUAUUGAGUUCCUUCAGUACAAAGUAUGUAAACAGACAUCUUCAGAGAUAGCUUCCGUUGUUCAAAUAGGUAAUAGCGUGACUUGUGUCUCCCAAUCUUCAUCAUCCGAUUCUUGGGUCAUUGAUUCAAGUGCAUCUGAUCAUAUUUCUGGUAACAAAUCUCUUUUCACUACUAUGUCAUAUUCUCAAUCUUUUCUAACAGUCACAAUGGCCAACGGAUCUCAAACCAUGGCAACUGAAAUAGGUCAAGCAAGUCCACUUCCUUACCUUCAGAUUCAGUUCUUUAUGUUCCCGAUAGUCCUUUUAAUCUCAUAGUCGUUAGUCGCUUUGCCAAAUCAUUUAAAUGCUCUGUUUUAUUUCUUGAUGAACUUGUUUUUAUACAGGAACACAGUCAGGGCGGAUCAUUGGUACCAGGCGUGAAUCAGAUGGACUUUAUUACCUUAUCCUUGCAACAUCACAUGGACUCACAUCUUGUCUUCCUUCAACAACUUGUCCUGUUACCGAUUCACCAGAUUUAUUACAUAAACGGUUAGGACAUCCCAAUUUGUCAAAACUUCAGAAAAUGAUACCUGAUUUANNNNNNNNNNNNNNNNNNNNNNNNNNNNNNNNNNNNNNNNNNNNNNNNNNNNNNNNNNNNNNNNNNNNNNNNNNNNNNNNNNNNNNNNNNNNNNNNNNNNNNNNNNNNNNNNNNNNNNNNNNNNNNNNNNNNNNNNNNNNNNNNNNNNNNNNNNNNNNNNNNNNNNNNNNNNNNNNNNNNNNNNNNNNNNNNNNNNNNNNNNNNNNNNNNNNNNNNNNNNNNNNNNNNNNNNNNNNNNNNNNNNNNNNNNNNNNNNNNNNNNNNNNNNNNNNNNNNNNNNNNNNNNNNNNNNNNNNNNNNNNNNNNNNNNNNNNNNNNNNNNNNNNNNNNNNNNNNNNNNNNNNNNNNNNNNNNNNNNNNNNNNNNNNNNNNNNNNNNNNNNNNNNNNNNNNNNNNNNNNNNNNNNNNNNNNNNNNNNNNNNNNNNNNNNNNNNNNNNNNNNNNNNNNNNNNNNNNNNNNNNNNNNNNNNNNNNNNNNNNNNNNNNNNNNNNNNNNNNNNNNNNNNNNNNNNNNNNNNNNNNNNNNNNNNNNNNNNNNNNNNNNNNNNNNNNNNNNNNNNNNNNNNNNNNNNNNNNNNNNNNNNNNNNNNNNNNNNNNNNNNNNNNNNNNNNNNNNNNNNNNNNNNNNNNNNNNNNNNNNNNNNNNNNNNNNNNNNNNNNNNNNNNNNNNNNNNNNNNNNNNNNNNCCACGGUGAUCUUGAGGGAGAAGUUUAUAUGGAACAACCACCUGGUUUUGUUGCUCAGGGGGAGUCUAGUGGUCUUGUAUGCCGAUUGCGCAGGUCACUAUAUGGUUUGAAACAGUCCCCUCGAGCUUGGUUUGGUAAGUUCAGCACAGUUAUUCAGGAGUUCGACAUGACUCGUAGUGAAGCUGAUCACUCUGUGUUUUAUCAGCAUUCUGCUCCUAAUCUGUGUAUUUAUCUAGUGAUUUAUGUUGAUGAUAUUGUUAUUACUGGCAAUGAUCAGGAUGGUGUUACUAAUCUGAAGCAGCAUCUCUUUCAGUACUUCCAGACUAAGGAUCUGGGAAGAUUGAAGUAUUUUCUAAGUAUUAAGGUCGCUCGGUCUAGCUCAGGUAUUGUUAUUUCACAGUGGAAGUAUGUCUUAGACAUUCUUGAGAAGACUGGAAUGAUGGGUUGCAGACCUGUUGACACUCCUAUGGAUCCGAAUGCUAAGCUUCUUCUGCCUGGACAGGGGGAGUCUCUUAGAGAUCCUACGAGAUAUAGGAGGUUGGUUGGCAAAUUGAAUUACCUCACGGUUACUAGACCUGACAUUUAUUUUCCGGUGAGUGUUGUAAGUCAGUUUAUGUAUUCAUUGUUCGCAUUCUUCGGUAUAUAAAGUCAGUUCCAGGCAAAGAAUUACUAUUCGAGGAUCGAGGCCACGAGCAGAUUGUUGGGUACACAGAUACUGAUUGGGCAGGAUCACCUUCUGAUAGACGUUCUACGUCUGGAUAUUGUGUUCUAGUAGGAGGUAAUUUGAUCUCUUGUAAGAGCAAGAAACAGAAUGUAGUUGCUCGAUCUAGCGCCGAAGCCAAAUAUCGGGCCAUGGCUAUGGAAACGUGUGAGCUAGUUUGGGUCAAGCAGUUACUCAAGGAGUUGAAGUUCGGAGAAAUCAGCAAGAUGGAACUGGUGUGUGAUAAUCAAGUUGCUCUUCACAUUGCGUCAAAUCCGGUGUUCCAUAAGAGGACUAAACACAUUGAGAUCGACUGUCACUUUAUUAGAGAAAAGAUACUCUCAGGAGAUAUUGUUACAAAGUUUGUGAAGUCGAAUGAUCAACUAGCAGAUAUUUUCACUAAGUCUCUUACUGGUUCUCGUAUUAGUCACAUCUAUAACAAGCUCGGUACAUAUGUUUAUAUGCACCGACUUGAGGGGGAGUGUUAAGUAGUUAGUCAUGUAUAGUGUCCCACAUCGGGAAGUAGAUACAUAUUAUUAUGUAAUCACUGUAUAUAAAUAGGGCAUUAUACAACACUUUAGAUAAUGAAUAAUAUUUUUUCUCUCGUGCUUUCUCACAGCAUUCUAAGAACUUAGGAAAUCAGCUUACGAUCUAGAGCAGCCUAGGCACAAAUUAAUUUUGCCAAUCUAGAAAUAUAUUACAAAUAUAAUUCUGAUAUUCACAUACCUGUUGCAUCCUUGACAGCCAAAAACGCAAACUGCUGAAAGCCAGAGUCAUCAUCUUUUUGCUCUACCGUCACUGGUCUCAUACUGGUUCGCCUCUUUUUGUUUGGAUGUUUUCCCUCCACCAUACCUUCAAUUUCAGCAGAGGGAAGCUCACGAUUUUUUUCGAGGAGAGACCAGACGCCAUCUGUGACAGAACUAUAAAGCAGCCAACAAGUUUCUUUCUUAGAGUCUAGUAAUAAGACAGAAGCUUUGGCAAUUAGCCAUUUGUUUAUAGACGGAACAUUUUUGGAGGCAUCUAAAGCGCAAGAUAUAUUGCAAGCAUCUUGAAUUGCUUUUUCAGCUACAGAAAGAUCAUUGUCCGUGUCCUUGGAGCCAGUUGGAUCAGAUUGAUUCAUGAACUUCAUGUAUGAAACCAAAGCCGGUUUUAGAGCCACAGCCAACUUGCAAAAUGACUCAAAGUCUAAAUUUUGUGCCUGUGGAUUUUGCUUCCUCUGGUAGUAGUUGUAAAGUAACACAACAGCAUGCAACUGAAGAAAGAAAAAAGGAAGAAGGAAAAGAAUUCAGAAGCCAGCCGAAGAUCUUAUUGGACAAUUUACAAAAUUAAUCUUCUCCAUUCCAAGGUCUUUUCUAAAUUUAUAACAGGUAGAUAAGAACUGAGAAACAAAAAGUAAGUCCAUUCUCAUUAUUUGAACACAAUGCUACGGUAACACAUCCUCAAAAGUCUUAAAUUAAAAGGAAUUUUCGAAAGGAACAAUGAGUUAAUUAAAAAAAAGAACAUUGAAAUCAGUCAUGCUUCAUUUUCAAAUAAAUGUCAAGGGUCAAAAAGAAGGGCAGGCAAUGAGUAUAGAAGGUAAAGAGAGAAGGUAUUGUUAACCUGUUUGGCAACAGAGAGCUGCUGAGAAAGAGAGGGAGGUUCCUUAAUGGCAGAAGAUUUCAAAGGCAAGUGAGGAUCAACUAAGUAUUCCAUCAAUGCAUUCACCACUUCCUCUGUAGAAGCUGAUGCCAUUUUCCUUAUCCUUUUGUGAUGGUGGAUGAAAACAAAUAAAGAACCAAAAGUCAAAAUGUGAUGCUUCAUGACAAACCCAAGGCUUCCCCCCACAAAAUGCCAAACACAAGGUUCUUUACUGAAAUACAUUAGGCAUAACAAGGAAUUACUACUAAUUUUCUUCAUUCUCAAUAAGCAUUUACUAUACUAUACAGGAAUCAUAUCCAAUUGCAUAUUGCACAUGCAACAACAAAUGAAUAUGCUUCUAUUCAAGUCCUUGUUCUGAACUGAAUUUCAUAGACAAAUGGUAAAGAGUAGUCAAACAUUUCAAGAGCAGCUUGUUUGGUACUUACUACUACGAGACACUGUGUUGUUAAUCAGACCAUUUUUUUUUAGUUCAAUUUCUGCAUAAAUGCAACAAAUCAAACAAAAUGUAUAGAACGCACGUAGCCUAAAAAUUGAUAAAUGGCUUAAACAUGUACCUUCAAUGGAAGUAAAUCUUCAAUCUCACUCUAGAAAUUAGGUCUAAAACGUAGCAUGCAUGUCUCAGGGGCUGCGUCUUCCAUUAAAAAAACCCUUUUCUUUCUGCGAUAUUCUCUCUCUAAGAACCGACGAGUGUCUUAUUUGAAGACAAGAAGCUUGAUUGACUCCUCGGAAUCCGUGUCUUUAAAUGGAGGAGGAAAUUUCAGUAUUCAAUAAUGUUGCUUAUCCCAAAAAGAAAAAAAGAAAAAGUGAAAAAUUCGUAAGAAGCCCGUUCGGGUUGCCACCGAGUAACUUAGACCUCAUUUAUUUUUGAAAGAUUAAAAUAUUUAAAUAUUGAGAUGUGCAUUAAGAUUAAAAUAAAUAAAUUUGAAUAUACAUCUGAAUAUUAAGAUUGUAUUAAUAUUUGAAUACUAAAUUAUUAAGAAUGCUUAUUUUUCAACAUCAGAAUAUAUAAAACUUAUCUUUAUUUAAAAAUUAAUAAAUAUAAAAUACUAAAAAAUAUUAAUUAAUUUAAUAUUCUAUCAAUAAAAUAUUAUUUUUAAAAUAAUAUGGUAAUUGAUGUUGAUGAUGACUAGCAAUGGUGCUUGUGGAUGCCGACUGAUGGUGGUUAUUAAUGGUUGUUUUGGUUGAUAGCUGUGAUUCUGGGUAGUAGCUAGGGUGAUUGGUAGUGAUAGUUAUGGUUUAGGAAGAUGGUGGUAGGUGAUGAUAGUUUAUAAUGGUGGAUAGUGACGGCUAUGGUUGAUAAUAGUGGUGGAGGUAUUUGGUGGUGGUAGAUGAGGUAGGUGAUUUUGGUUGAGGAUAAUGCCGGUGGUGGUAGAAGAUGUGAGUGAUUUUGGUUGAGGAUAAUGCUAGUUGUGGUAGUUGAUAAUGAUUGAGUUGGUGGGAGGUGAUCGUCCAUAAUGGUGGGGUGGUAGGUGUUGGUAGUCGAUAAUGAUGUCGGUGGUGGUUAUGGUUGAGGAUAGUAGUGGUAGGUGGUGGUCUGCGGAUAAAAAAUUGUGCUAAGCUCUACCCGGGUACCCAACUCACUCUGUAGUCUGUACUGCUCUCCAGAAAUAUGAAGUAAACUGAGGGCCUCUAUCUGAUAUGAUGGAAACAGGCACACCAUGCAACCGAACUAUUUUCUGAAUACAAAUCUAGGCCAGCCUCUCUGAAGUAUACGCGGUCACAACCGGAAUGAAGUGUGCCGACUUGGUCAACCUGUCGACAAUGACCCAAACUGCAUCAAACUUUCGCAAGAUCCGCGAAAACUCAACUACGAAGUCCAUAGUAAUGCGCUUCCAUUUCCACUCAGGUAUAGUUAUCCGCUGAAGUAGGCCACAUGGCCUCUAAUGCUCAUACUUGACCUAUUGGCAAUUUAGACGCCUCGCAACAUACUCAACUAUGUCAUUCUUCAUCCGACGCCACCAAUAAUGCUGCCUCAGUUCGCGAAACAUCUUCAUAGCACCUGGAUGAAUAGAAUACCGAGAACUUAUGUGCUUUCUCUAGGAUCUUCUCCCUCAAACCAUCAACAUUAGGAACACAUAGGCAACCCUGAAGUUGCAGAACACCGUCCUCACCGAUAGUAACCUCCCUGGCACCACCCUGUAAUAUCGUCUCUCUGAGAACCACCAAGUGUAGAUCAUCAAACUGGCGAGUCUUGAUCUGCUCGAAUAGUGAAGACUGGGGGACGACGCAUGCAAGAACUCGGUUGGGCUCUGAAAUAUCCAACCUCACAAGUCUGUUAGCCAAGGACUGAAUGUUCAAAGCUAGUGGCCUCUCCUCUACUGAAAUGAAUGCGAAACUACCCAUACUCUCUGCCUUUCUGCUCAAGGCAUCUGCAACUACAUUCGCCUUGCCCGAGUGAUAAAGAAUGGUGAUAUCAUAAUCCUUCAGUAACUCAAGCCACAUGCGCAGCCUCAAAUUGAGAUCUCUCUACUUGAACAAAUGCUGCAGGCCGCGAUGAUCGGUGUAAACCUUACAGGACACCCCAUAAAGAUAAUGCCUUCAGAUCUUAAGAUCAUGAAUAAUUGCGGCCAACUCCAAAUCAUGUACAUGGUAAUUCUUCUCGUGGGACUUCAGCUGACGUGAAGCAUAUGCAAUAACUCGACCCUCAUGUAUCAAUACACAACCCAAGCCAACGCGUGAAGCGACACAAUACACAGUAUAUAUCCCUGAAUCAGAAGGCAACACUAACACCGGUGCUGAGGUCAAGGCGGUCUUGAGCUUCUGAAAGCUCGCCUCACAAUCGUUGGACCAUCAGAACAGAGCACCUUUCUGGGUCAAUCUCGUCAAAGGUGCUGCAAUAGACGAGAAGCCCUCUAUAAACCGACGAUAAUAACCUACUAACCCCAAGAAUCUUUUGAUAUCAGUCGAUGUGGUAGGACGAGGCCAACUCUGAACUGCCUCGUUAUUCUUGGGAUCAACCUUAAUACCCUCGCCUGAUAUAACAUGUCCCAAGAAUGCCACAGAAUCUAGCCAUAACUCACCCUUGGAAAACUUAGCAUAUAGCUUCUAUUCCCGCAAGUUCUGGAGUACCACUCUCAGAUGAUGCUCAUGCUCCUCCAUGCUACGCGAGUAGAUCAAAAUAUCAUCAAUGAAUAUAAUGACAAACGAAUCAAUAUACGGCCUGAAUACCUUGUUCAUUAAAUCCAUAAACGCCGCCGGCUGACAAUAUACGGCCUGACAUGAAAUCCACCGGGGCUGGUCCUGGUGCAGGCACCUCAACCUGCUCAUUAACAAUGAGAUCCUCUACUGAUCCACUAGUGGUGUAACUGGAGCAACUCUAGGAUGCCCUCAUCAUCUACCAUGAACUGGAGCUCUCCCCCGGCCUCUAGUGACAGGGGGAGCAGCUCCUCCAUGGUCUGGUACAUCUGUUGUACGCGUUCUCACCAUAUGUGAGAGAAUGAGAGAAAAAAAUUCUUAGUACUACAUCAACUUCACGAUAGAAAAUGAAGAAAGAGUAGUUUCUUAACACCCUAUAGCCUCUCUGUACGAGCGUCUCUGUACUAAUCCGCAAGACUCUAUUAGGCCUGCUCAUAACUUGUGAGACCUACGUGAACCUAGUGCUCUGAUACCAUAUUGUCACGACCCAAUUUCUCCUAUAGGCCGUGAUGGCGCCUAACGUCGCUGCUAGGCAAGCCUACGGGGAAUUUACUACGUGAUUUCUUCUUUUAACCAAUUUCCAAGUAAUUAAAUCUCAUUUGUUUAGAGUUUGGAGAGAUAGAGAUUCAAAUGGUUAAAUCGCAGGUGCGGGCACACCAGAACUGGUGCACCAACAACCCUUUUUGAGUCUUAACUCAAUCCGCGCAUCGUCCGAAUGGCGUCCGGGCCCCCCGAGGCCCCGUCCAAAUAUACCAACAAGUCCAUAAACAUAAUACGGACCUGCUCGAACUCUCGAAACGCGUAAAACAAUAACAAAACCAAGAAUCACAUCCCAAAACCAAAUCGAAUCAAGUGAUGAACUUCAAGUUUCCAAAUCGUUCUGAACGCGCCGAAUCAUACUUAGGCUACUCGGAAUGACAUCAAUUUUUGCGGGCAAGUCUUAAAUAACCAUACGGAACUAUUUCCGAUCUCAAAAUCUUAAUUUGACCUCGAUAACACCAAAACCUACUCCAAACCAAAUUUAAAGAACUUAAAAACCUUCAAGAAACCAUCUUUCACUAUUAGGCGCCGAAACGCUCGCGGGUCAUCCAAAACCCGAUCCGAACAUACGUCUAAGUCCGAAAUUAUCAUACGAACCUAUUGGAACCGUCAAAUCCCAAUUCCGAGGUCGUUUACUCAAAACGUUGACCGAAGUCAAACUUAGCCUUUUUAGCCAAUCUUAAGGAACCAAAUGCUCUGAUUUCAACUCAAACCCUUCCAAAUCCCGAACUAACCAUCCCUGUAAGUCAUAAAACAGUAAAAGUACAUACAAGGAGUCUUAUUUAGGGGAAUGAGGUUCUAGAAAGCAAAAUGACCGGUCGGGUCGUUACACAUACAAAAUUUAUUGGAUUUAAAUUCAAGAAAAUAAUUUGAACUAUAUAUUAAAUAUGUUAGUCCAACUAAAUAUUAUGGGCUAAUAUAAUUAGAUUAAUUAUAUAAGUCCAAAUACACAUGGGUUAAAUAAAUGAGUCCAAAUCUAUUAGGCUAAUCCAUUUAAUUGGCCUGCAAGUGAUGAACCCACUUCAUUAAGCCCAAGAUAUCAUCUUCCUAUAGGCCCAGUUUGGUGCCACGUGUCAAAUGACAUGGCACGCCAAGUCAAAUAAAAGAGACAAUAGGAUCGUGCCACGUGUCAAAAUGAUGAGGCAUGCCAAGUCAAAUUAAAAGGCCAAUGAAACUGCGCCACGUGUUCCAAUGACAUUUUCGGACCAAUCAAAUGCGGCCUUGUCAUACUUCAAUUUGAUUGGUCAGAAAGAGUUUGUUCUUAUCAUAACUCUUCCCUCCCAUAACUAUAAAUAGGAGUUUUCAUAACCCAGAAAAGGAACCAGAAGUUAUAAUAAGAAGACACAAGGGAGCUCGUGGAUCAAAGGCCACAAUUCUCUGCAAACUGCAAGUGUUCAAGCAUUCAAGUACUUCAACAUAAAUUUCAAGUAUUCAAGAUCAAGAACGAAGUCAAAUUAAAUACAAGGCGUUCAAGAUCAAGGCUAUUUGUUCGUGAUACAAUUCGUAGCNNNNNNNNNNNNNNNNNUGAAAAAAUAGAAUUAGAGGAUCCAUAGAGAUUGUAACACUCAUAUUACUUGAAUUCAAAUACAACAAUUGUUGUAAUAUUUUCGGUCUUAAUUAUUUUCUUGACGCAAUUUUAUUGUCUACACAUGUUUCGUGCAGAAAGGUCACCGUCUAAAAUUUUAGGCAAAUUACUCAAUUUCUAGAUUGACGGCAAAAAAUAGACUAGGAUUUAUAUAAGAAAAACUGUACACUAAUUUAAAGUCCUAAAUAUAGGGACUUUCUACUUAGUUCAAAUAAGGAAAAAUACUAUAACUAAAAUUUUUGAUUGAUUUUAAAUUCUUAAAUAUAUAUUAGGAAAAUAAUCAAAUUAUAAUUUUAUCCAAUAUUAACUCUAUUUUUAAAAGAUAAAAAUGGCGAACUACAUUUCGCUAAGCGCGUUCAUGUUUUUAAUAUAGUAUAGAUAGAUAUAGAUAACAAAAUGAAAGAGUGUCCUAAAGAACAUACAAUUAAGAUCCAUAAAAGAAUACACAAUUUUUUUUAAUAAUCAUCAAUAAUACAAAUUCUUGCGGAGAGGAGCAAAAUUAUGAAACGGAUCUUUAAACUAUAGACGUACUACAAACAUAUAUGAAGAUAAAAUAUAAUAAUAAUCAUUAAAUCCUUGUAGAGAAAAAUAUGAAGCAAUAUGUACAUUCUUACCUUCUAAAAGUUGAAGCAAUAGUAGCCUAGCGAGACGGGACCUGUUAUAGUAGGAUUUACAUCAAGUUACAAAUAUCUCUUAAAUAGAUUGCAAUAAUGUUUGAUUCGUUUUUAAAAGAAUUUAAACUUGUGUGCAAAAAAGUUCUAAUUCCACUGUACGUGAUUUCUAGUUCUUUAUAAAAGUUGAAAUUAGAAAAAAAUUAAUAGGAAAAACUGUAUUCAAUUUCAAAGUCCUAAAUAUUAGGGUCCUAAAUAUUAAAAAAUUAAUUAAAUAACUAUUUUUGUUCCUGUGUGAACUUUAUUUUUAAAGGGUAAAAAGGUGAAAGAUAUUUCUAAGGAGCUUUGUGCUUUUAAUAUAACUAGUCUUUAGGCUACGUGCUUUGCGCGUGUACCCAUAUUAAAGAAUACCUAAUUUUAAAGAAAUUACGUGAAUAUUAAUAGAUAAUUAGUUUGAGUUAUAUAAACUUAUAUAAUAAAAGUUAAAGAAAAAUCUCUAAAAAUAAUAAAUGUUGUUCCCACUUACCUAGCUCAAUAAAUAAAGAUAUCAUAUACCACAAAAGUUUUCAAAUGCCUUAAUUGUGAUUUAAAAAGGACUUACAUCGAAAUUUGAAAAUUAAAAAUUGAUAGUGACAAUGUAAAGUUUAAAAAAUAACUAAUAUUAAAUAAUAUUUUACAAGAAAUAACUUAAUAUAAAAAAGAAUAUAGCGAGACAUUGUCACCUAUUGGAGGGAAUACAAGGAAAAAAAUGAUAACUCAUUUAUAAUAUUUUAUCCUUUACUAUUUUAUUCUUAUUACUUCAAAUCAUAUUAUUAUCAAUUUGACUCUUAGAGCCUGUUUGGAUGUUCUUGUUGUAAGUGACUUUUAAACCAAAAGUCAUAAGUUAGGAAUUCGAACUUUUGGCUUUUAGCUUACUUUUGUCAUUUUAGCUUUAAAAUAAGUGCUUAAAAUUAUAUUUUUACUUUAUCCAAAUACUACAAAAAUGAUUUAAAAGCACUUAAAAUAAGCCAAUACAAACGGACUCUUAAUUUGAUAUUAUAGCCUUUUUUUUUUAUAGUUUUUUCCACCAUUAAUGCUCUUCUUAAUAAAAUUAAUUUAUGUACCUUAAGAGUUUUGUCAACUUGAUAAAUAAAUUUACUUAUAUGAUGAAUUUAAAAAAUAAUUGAAUUGAAUUCUUUUGCUAAUUAGUUAACUUAAAGACUUAAUUAUUUAUUCUGAACGUUAAAGAAAAUAACUUAAUUUUUGCUAAUUUAAAUUCUUAAUUUUAGAUCAUCCAAAUAAUUUUAAUAUUAACUGUAAUUACAAAUUUAUUCAACAAAAAAUUUACUUCAAAUAGUUUAAAAACUAUCAGUACGUCAAUUUUGAAUUGUUAUGCUUCCGGAAUCAUUGUGAUUUUGACUAAUAGAGAAUCUUGCUAACGCAUAAUUUCUAAAGUGUUGAAUAACAAGAAAAUCUUAUAGUUUAGUCUAGCUUUAAUAUUACAAGCUUCAAAUAAGGAAAUUCAUAUAAGGUAAAAAGUUUAAUAAUUUUAAAGUACUAAAUAUUAAAUUUUUUUACGUAGUUUAAGAAAAGAUUUAAUAAACAAACUUGUAAUUGAUUUUAAAGUCCUAAAAAUUAGGAAAGUAGCUUAAAAUUACAAAAUUAUCCAAUGUGAAAUUUAUUUUUAAAGGGUAAAAAGAGCGAACAAUAUUUCGCUAAGGGGUUUCGUGCUUUUAAUAUAGAUAUAGAUAUAGACUAGUCUUAGGAUACGCACAUUGCACGUGUACUUAAUACCGAUGCCUAUAAUUUUUAAAAAGUUAUAUAUAGAUAUCUAAUCUUUGUAUACGUGCGAACAACCCUUCUCAAAUAUUAAAAUAAUAUCUUUUAAAAAAAUUUAAUUGGGUUUAUAUUGCAAAAAUCUUGUACAAUUGCUGGUAAUAACUUUCAACUACAAAUCUGUAAAAAUGCCAAUAGAAAAACUAUACCAGCAGACGGCAUAUAGAGUGGAGAUUAUACUACAGUGAGUAAUUAAUGAUAUGAAGCAUGAAUUAAAAUAUAUUAGCUAAGUUAUUUAGUCAAUUGUACAGAAUUUUUUGUUUAUGGCACUACAAAAAUUAAAUAUAUAAAGAAAAAAAAGCAAUUUUAAAUUCAAAUCAACUAAAAGAUGAGGAGCUUUCAAACACAUCUAAUACUUUUUUUUGGUCGAAAGAGAUUAAUAGAGAAGAGAAAUUCUUCUUCUUAAUAUUCACACACACACACANNNNNNNNNNNNNNNNNNNNNNNNNNNNNNNNNNNNNNNNNNNNNNNNNNNNNNNNNNNNNNNNNNNNNNNNNNNNNNNNNNNNNNNNNNNNNNNNNNNNNNNNNNNNNNNNNNNNNNNNNNNNNNNNNNNNNNNNNNNNNNNNNNNNNNNNNNNNNNNNNNNNNNNNNNNNNNNNNNNNNNNNNNNNNNNNNNNNNNNNNNNNNNNNNNNNNNNNNNNNNNNNNNNNNNNNNNNNNNUAUAGAUAAUUUCCCUUUUGAUUUUUGAAAACACUUGAAAAAUGUACUACUGGUAAAAGAAAAAAACUGCUCGACUCUUUGUGAAAAAACUGUAAUUAGAGUGGACUGUAGCUUUAACCUUACCACGGAAUCUCAUGAUUUUGACGAAAUUAACAUGAAAAACCUGCUUCUUAUUGUUAUGACUCUGCAUUUUAAUUAUUCACUUUCAUGUAUCAACUUGUGCAAAUGAUGCAUUUAAUAUGUCGGGAAGAUUUUAAAUGAUUAAAUGCAUGUUUGAAAAGUUAUGUGAAUGUUUGAGAUCGGGAAUGGAGAAAAUAAUUUGAGUAUAAUUGAAAAUGAUAAGGAGGAAAAUGCUUCACGUGAAAUAUACCCCAACUUUAAAAAUGUACAACUCAUAAUACAGGAAGAAGCUUGACUAUAAUGUAUGGAUAAUAUAGACAGAGGUUGACUAUAACAGUCCUUCCCCGAUUUUAUUUUAAGUUUACUAAUCUAAUAAGUAAUUAAAGUAGUCGUCAUUUGAUAUUGAACUGACUUUUCUCAUAAAGAUAAUUACUAAACUCCAUAUUUGUGUAAAGGGUAAAAUAUGUUUAUAAUAAAUGAUCGCGUGAGAAAGUGACAUGUGGAGCCAGAGACAGAAGAUAGUUGAAUCCGAAGACAACAAUCCCGUUUGUUAUCAGAGAAAAUAAUACUCAUAAAGAUGAAGUAAAUGCCUGUCACCCGGUAGCAUUUAAUAAGGAUAUUCUACAGCAUUAAGUGCGCAGCCCGUUGCAAAGAAUAUGUCAUUCACUGCCUGCCGUUACACAUUCUUCAAUGGCCCUCAUAAUUGACAUUAAAGAGGGGCUUGAUCCUAGGACCUUGUUCCCUAGGUGUAGCUAUAAAUAGUGAGCUCUAUUAUCGUUAUAAAAGACACAAAUUUUCUGAAAAACAUACGCUACACUCUAUUCAAAACUCAAUAUAAUUCUAUCUUCUUGUUUAUUGAUAUCAUUGUUGUCGUGUCCGGAAACCUUGCUCCCAUAAUUACUAUUUCUGCUAUUUUAUCUCCAUCUCAAGGCUAAGUAUUACAUUUUCGUCUAAUUCAUCUGUUAUUUCAUGAUCAAAUUAAUUCACUUGUCUAUAAACCACGUAUAAAUUCAACUAUACCGUUUUACAGAAAAAUAGUUUGGCGCCCACCGUGGGGCUUAGACAGUUGUGUAAUUAAGUUGGUCCUUGCCUCUUUUACUAACGUGUUUGAUUAUCUGUUCUUAGCAAAAAAUCAUAGAAAAUGGCAGAUAAUGGUGUUAACAACACACACAACCUUGAGGCCCAAGGAAAUCAUCCUCAGCACGAGGAUUCAAUCAGCGAUACCCGCAGUGAGGGGAACGAGGCCACACUGGUCCAUGGAAGACGAUACUCGUGACAUGUUCGAGAGGCGACUCCUGAUGAUGCUGAAGAGGAGCACGUUGUCGAAGGGGUAAGGGUCCUGCAAGAGCAACAAGAGGCCAUUCUAGGCCAUCUCACAUGGCAGGAUAAGGUUAUAACAGAACUGAAGCAGACAUUAUCGGGUGCCUGAAAUAAUGCGAAUGGACGAGGUCCAGUUCCUCCCGGUGCUCCCGCAAAUCAAACAACACAGAAGGUCGACAAUAAUACCCCGAUGGGCGAGGUUGGCUUCGAUGGGGUUGGGGGGAGUGGAUCCGGUCACAACAACGAGAGCGAUCCCUUCAAAAACAAACUCAUACGGUUUAUGAGGGAAGUGAAUGCCCACAUGGCCCAAAUCACGGGUGUGCCACCGAUGCUGAAAGGACCGGACUCAAAGAAGUAUACUCAAUUGCCAUACAAACCAAGCGCGACACCAUAGUUGAUCCCGAAACGAUUUAAAAUACCGGACGUGCCGAAGUAUGAUUGGACUUCAGAUCCUCAGGAACAUAUCACCACAUAUACAAUGGUGGUGAAGGGGAACGAUUUAGCUCCCCACGAGAUUGAAUCAGUGUUGCUGAAGAAAUUCGGAGAGACUCUUACGAAUAGAGCCUUGACGUGGUAUUCACUUUUGCCCGAGCUUUCCAUAGAUUCCUUCGAGAUGCUCGCAGAUUAUUUCAUUAAGGCCCAUGCUGGGGCCAGAAAGGUACAUGCCCGAAAGGCCGAUAUUUUCAGGAUUGCACAAGGAAAGCCCAAGUUGCUACGGGAAUUUGUAACCCGGUUUCAGAAGGAAAGGAUGUUACUACCGGCCAUUUCAGAUAAAUUGGAGGCUGAAGCAUUCACCAAAGGUUUGAUUCUGAGGAGUUCCGAUGCUUCCCGGAAGUUGAAAGAAAGCUUGCUCAAAUUCCAAGCGAUAACUUGGGCGGAUGUUCACAACCGGUACGAGUCAAAGAUAAGGACUGAGGAUGAUCAGCUCGGUUUCCCGGUGUCGGUUAAGGGUCGGGCGAAGAAUAAAGAGAAAUCAAAAGACAAUUUCGACACAGAUCGACGGUCUUCGAGAAGCCGGUUUUUGCCCUAUGAACGGGUCUAAGGACCCGAUAGAGGUUUCAGGUCGGCAGAUAGGUUCGUUACCGAUAGUAGAACUGAUCGUGGCCAGAGCAAUAGGUCAUUACAGGACAAGGAAACAUCAGGUUCUCGAGAUUCUUCCUACCAUAGACUUUCAGAAUAUAACUUUAAUGUAAAUAUAGUAGAGUUAGUAUUGGCUAUGAGGAAUAUUAAGGAAGCACGAUUAUCGAAAUCAAUGAGAUCCGAUCCCAGCCAGAGGGAUCCUAAUUUGUGGUGUGAAUACCAUGGGACGAACAGUCACCGAAUUGGGGACUGCCGGCAUCUGUGUGAAGAGGUUGCGACGCUGCUAAAAAAUGGCCAUCUCAGGGAAUUCUUAAGUGACUAGGCUAAAAACAAUUACGGUAGCAAUCAUGAAAACACGGAGCCCUCAAAAGCAGGAGAAGAUCACCCGCGCAUGACGAUCAACAUGAUUUUUUGGGGGAACAAGAUUAACGGGGUUACCUUCUCGACAGCAAAAAAUAUGAAGGUAUCAGUAAUCCACAGCAAGAGACUCUAGGAAGUCGUUGAAGACGACAUCACUUUCACGGAGGAAGAUGCAUAUGGAUUAUUGUUAUCGCACAACGACGCAUUAGUAAUUUCUUUAAAUGUGUUAGAUUUUAAAAUCAAACGUGUUCUGGUGGAUCUAGGGAGCUCGGCCAAUAUUAUAAAAUAUAGGGUAUUGGAGCAGGCCAAGAUUACCGGAAGCAUCAUUCCGGCCACAAAACUCCUCCCCGGGUUUAACCUAGCAAGCGUGACAACCCGAGGAGAGAUCCUGCUGUCUACGAAUGUUGAAUGGGUGAUAAAGACGACCCUUUUUGAAGUGGUGGAUGGUGAUAUGGGCUACAAUAUUAUCCUGGGAAGACCAUGGUUGCACGAGAUGAAACCUGUGCGAUCGACAUAUCACCAGUUGCUGAAAUUCCCAACUCCCGAGGGAAUUAAAUAAAUAAUAGGUGACCAACCGACAACAAGGGAUAUUAAUGCAAUUUCGGUCUCCAUUAGCAAAAAGAGAGAGCAUGCGGCAUCGCAAUUAUAGGACCCAAUGCCUGCUCUCAAGUCAAGUGAAGUAUAACGACCCGGCCGGUCUUUUCGAGUAUUACAACCCCAUCUCCCCAUUUAAUGCUCAAAUUGUGCUUAACGGUUGUUAUUUGACAUACCGAGGUAAUUGGUUUGGGUCCGGUGAGGUUUUGGAGUAAUUUGAAAUAUUUAGUUCCAAGGUUUAGAACUUAAGUUAAAGAGGUUGACCGGAUGUUGACUUAUGUGUAACGACCCCGAAAAAUAUUUGCUAAAGAAAUUAAGGUUUUGUGAUGCCGAACUAGGCUUACGUGCCGUGACUCGGAUGCUUUGGGUUGAACAAUGCACUGGUGAGUAAAGAAAAAAAAUAUUUCUGCAGCCCACUAUGCGAUCGCAGAAUCACUUUACGGACCACAUAAUGGCCGCAAAGUGAAGCAGGUUAGGCCAAGUUUGGAGAUCAGGUUUGCGGCGCAUUA
rnacentral:lncRNA from 1 species